AGAGUUUGAUCCUGGCUCAGGAUGAACGCUAGCGGCAGGCCUAACACAUGCAAGUCGAACGGUAACAGAUCUAGCUUGCUAGAUGCUGACGAGUGGCGCACGGGUGCGUAACGCGUAUACAAUCUGCCUUUAACUGAGGGAUAGCCCAGAGAAAUUUGGAUUAACACCUCAUAAUAUUGUGAUUUGGCAUCUUAUUACAAUUAAAACUUCGGUGGUUAAAGAUGAGUAUGCGUCCUAUUAGCUAGUUGGUAAGGUAACGGCUUACCAAGGCUACGAUAGGUAGGGGGCCUGAAAGGGUGAUCCCCCACACUGGUACUGAGACACGGACCAGACUCCUACGGGAGGCAGCAGUGAGGAAUAUUGCGCAAUGGAGGAAACUCUGACGCAGCCAUGCCGCGUGCAGGAUGACGGCCCUAUGGGUUGUAAACUGCUUUUAUAUAGGAAGAAACCCCGAUACGUGUAUCGGCUUGACGGUACUAUAUGAAUAAGGACCGGCUAACUCCGUGCCAGCAGCCGCGGUAAUACGGAGGGUCCAAGCGUUAUCCGGAUUUAUUAGGUUUAAAGGGUCCGCAGGCGGGAUUUUAAGUCAGUGGUGAAAGCCUACAGCUCAACUGUAGAACUGCCAUUGAUACUGAUUUCCUUGAGUGUGGUUGAAGUGGGCGGAAUAUGUCAUGUAGCGGUGAAAUGCAUAGAUAUGACAUAGAACACCAAUUGCGAAGGCAGCUCACUAAGCCAUUACUGACGCUGAGGGACGAAAGCAUGGGGAGCGAACAGGAUUAGAUACCCUGGUAGUCCACGCCCUAAACGAUGUCUACUAGUUGUUGGUGGAGUAAAAUCCAUGAGUAACGCAGCUAACGCGUGAAGUAGACCGCCUGGGGAGUACGGUCGCAAGAUUAAAACUCAAAGGAAUUGACGGGGGCCCGCACAAGCGGUGGAUUAUGUGGAUUAAUUCGAUGCAACGCGAAAAACCUUACCUGGCCUUGACAUGUACCGAAUUUAGCAGAGAUGCUUUAGUGCUCGAAAGAGAACGGUAACACAGGUGCUGCAUGGCUGUCGUCAGCUCGUGUCGUGAGAUGUUGGGUUAAGUCCCGCAACGAGCGCAACCCCUGCCAUUAAUUGCCAUCAUUUAGUUGGGCACUUUAAUGGGACUGCCGGUGACAAACCGGAGGAAGGUGGGGAUGACGUCAAGUCCUCAUGGCCCUUAUGGCCAGGGCUUCACACGUAAUACAAUGGUCGGUACAGAGGGACGCCAACCCGCGAGGGGGAGCUAAUCUCAGAAAGCCGAUCGUAGUCCGGAUUGUUGUCUGCAACUCGACAGCAUGAAGUCGGAAUCGCUAGUAAUCGCGGAUCAGAAUGUCGCGGUGAAUACGUUCCCGGGCCUUGUACACACCGCCCGUCACACCAUGGGAGUGGGUUUUACCAGAAGUAGUUAGUCUAACCGCAAGGAGGGCGAUUACCACGGUAGGAUUCACGACUGGGGUGAAGUCGUAACAAGGUAACC
rnacentral:rRNA from 1 species